CUGCAGUGAGGUCCCCUCUCAGGGAUCCUCUCCAGGCUGAACAAGCCAAGUGACGUGAGCCCUAUGGCUGUCCUUUAAGUGACCAAAUCUGCAGAUAGGACUCAAGGUGAGGCCACACCAGUGCAGAGCAGAAUGGGAAGUCCUUGGCUUAGGGAUAAACAGGCCCAGCUCCCUCAGUCUUUCCUGAUAAGUGACCUGUUCCAGUCCCCUCAUCAUCUUUGUUGCCCUUCACUGGACCAGCUCCAGGAACUCCCUGUCUCUCUUGUCCUGAGGAGCCCACUGCACUACAGGUUCAGAGCUUGGAAAGGAAUGAAAUUUCCACCCUGUGACAUUUUUCUGAAACCACUCUCUGUUU